rnacentral:rRNA from 1 species
UACGUAGGGGGCAAGCGUUAUCCGGAUUUACUGGGUGUAAAGGGAGCGUAGGUGGCAAGGCAAGUCAGAUGUGAAAACCCGGGGCCCAACCCCGGGAGUGCAUUUGAAACUGUCUGGCUAGAGUGCAGGAGAGGUAAGUGGAAUUCCUAGUGUAGCGGCGAAAUGCAUAGAUAUUAGGAGGAACACCAGUGGCGAAGGCGGCUUACUGGACUGUAACUGACACUGAGGCUCGAAAGCGUGGGGAGCAAACAGG